GGGGUCGACAUGGUAUCGAUUGGAGCAGUGCGGAUUAGUUGCAUGUGGGCUUGAGUCACCCUUACAAGAUUCACAAUUUUUUAAACGCAAAUAAUACAAAUUAUUCUCCUGCUGUAGCAAAAGCUGCAUAGAUAAAAGACUCCCCUUAAUUGGGUAGAGACUUUGGAGGUUUCCACUACAUGAUGCUAUCUAUUGUAGAUUAUUGGAGACUCACCCCUAGAUAGCUUAUCGAUUUGGAACUGAUUUGAACAAAUUGAGACAUUUAGAAUCUUAUCUUUUUAGUAGCCUUGGAAGUUUGAGCUACUCUUAAGAGACAUCUGAUCAACUUUAUCUAAACAUGUAGACGCUAAUGUAAUCUGUUUUAAGACUGGAGUUCAAUUCUCCACGACUCCACCA
rnacentral:tmRNA from 1 species